ensembl:misc_RNA predicted gene, 24358
UGAUGUGGGGGCAAUCUAGCUAACACAUCUGACAUGGUAUUGAUCAUCAAGUUUGAUUGGGUUUAUCUGGCUUGCAAGCUGGCUCCUUCUUCCCUCCUCUCUGCUCCACAUGUGUCUCUCCUGAAUGAUACUGAGUUGAUGAAAUCAACCUUCUGUUACAGAAGAGGCCCAAUCCUGGGUCAAGGAUGGACAGGUCGUUAUUGUGUCCAUUUGAAGGCCAGUAUAAUGUGGUCAAGUGUCCAAAAUUCUAGACACACCUGUGGUGGUUUUAAAGAAAAUGGCCCCCAU